rnacentral:rRNA from 1 species
UACGUAGGGCGCAAGCGUUUGUCCGGAAUCAUUGGGCGUAAAGGGCUCGUAGGCGGUUUGUCGCGUCGGGAGUGAAAACACCGGGCUUAACUCGGUGCUUGCUUCCGAUACGGGCAGACUAGAGGCAUGCAGGGGAGAACGGAAUUCCUGGUGUAGCGGUGAAAUGCGCAGAUAUCAGGAGGAACACCGGUGGCGAAGGCGGUUCUCUGGGCAUGUCCUGACGCUGAGGAGCGAAAGUGUGGGGAGCGAACAGG